rnacentral:tRNA from 1 species
GGAGAAGUCGCAUAGUGGCCUAGUGCGGCGGUUUGCUAAACCGUUGUACGAUUGAAAAGUCGUACCCAGGGUUCGAAUCCCUGCUUCUCCG